GUCGAGCGGAACGAUGGUAGCUUGCUACCAGGCGUCGAGCGGCGGACGGGUGAGUAAUGCUUAGGAAUCUGCCCAGUAGUGGGGGAUAGCCCGGGGAAACCCGGAUUAAUACCGCAUACGCCCUUUUGGGGAAAGCAGGGGAUCUUCGGACCUUGCGCUAUUGGAUGAGCCUAAGUCGGAUUAGCUAGUUGGUGGGGUAAAGGCUCACCAAGGCGACGAUCCGUAGCUGGUCUGAGAGGAUGAUCAGCCACAUCGGGACUGAGACACGGCCCGAACUCCUACGGGAGGCAGCAGUGGGGAAUAUUGGACAAUGGGGGCAACCCUGAUCCAGCCAUGCCGCGUGUGUGAAGAAGGCUUUCGGGUUGUAAAGCACUUUCAGUGAGGAGGAAGGCCUUAAGAUUAAUACUCUUAAGGAUUGACGUCACUCACAGAAGAAGCACCGGCUAACUCCGUGCCAGCAGCCGCGGUAAUACGGAGGGUGCAAGCGUUAAUCGGAAUUACUGGGCGUAAAGCGCGCGUAGGUGGUUGAGUAAGCGAGAUGUGAAAGCCCCGGGCUUAACCUGGGAACGGCAU
rnacentral:rRNA from 1 species